rnacentral:lncRNA from 1 species
CGGAAAUGGCCCUCAUUGGACUGAUUGAUAAAUGAAGCUGUCCUUGUUUUUGAGCAAGGCCCCUUCAGCUCUGGACUUUGUCCAGGAAAACCUCUAACAGCCACUUAUUAAGUAGUUAGACUCAGAAGGCUGUGUGUGCACUGGUCACCUGGGUGUGUGUCUGUAGGUUCUGAGAACCCAUUGGCCAACGCUGGACUCUCCAUUGCAAGUUGCUUGUCCGGCAGUGGAGUAGAGGUAGUGCUUGGCCUCUGGUCCAGAUGAUUUCUCCUCCUACUGGAGCAUCAGUAAGGCUUUCUUCUGUCAGCCUGUCAUGGUCAUCCUUCUUGUUAGUCUCAUCCUGGACACACGCUGCAUUCAGGCUGAAGGGCCGGCCUGGUUUGGGCAUGUGAUAGACAUUAGCACUGGAAGAGAAGUCCAGAUCAUUAUGUUUAAGAGCUUUACAAUGCUCAUUAACAGCUUUCUACCACACAGUCCUGGCAGGAGAUCCUGGCUCCUUCAGCCUUUGGCCCGGCUCCGUUACAGCCUCCUCUCAGUGUCUGAAGACAGACUUUAACCCUGACAGCCCUCUACCUGACACACACAGUCAGCCCCUCUUUAGGGGGUUUAUCUUUUUGCACAGCUGGCAUAAACCAAGGACAAAGAAGCAGUAUUAAUGUACUUUCACCAUCCACCUCCUUAAGCACUUCAUCAGGAAUGUUCACAAGGGAUCAGAUACAGUGAUGGCAGUGCAUGUUGCAGUACUGAUGUCAGAUUUACCUGCUACAUAUGUGGCUCAGACUGGCCACUACUGUUAUUUUCAUAAGACCACUUAAGACCCACUAAACACACUACCGCUGAGAAGUCUUUAAACAAUUUGUCACUGAAAGGUUUCCAGGCAAAGUCUUGAUUUAAAGCAUCUAAUUGAGCCUCAAUUCAUGGUGAGUUCCGAGACAGUUGAUGGAACUGUCACUCGCCAGAU